UACUUGUGGCGCCCAAUGGACAGCGCGUUGGACUUCUAGUUAAAUUCAGGAGAAGAGAUUCAAAGGUUGUGGGUUCGAGUCCCACCAGAGUCG
rnacentral:tRNA from 1 species